UACAGAGGCCUCAAGCGUUGUUCGGAUUCAUUGGGCGUAAAGGGUGCGUAGGCGGCGCGGUAAGUCGGAUGUGAAAUCUCGGAGCUUAACUCCGAAACUGCAUUCGAUACUGCCGUGCUUGAGGACUGGAGAGGAGACUGGAAUUUACGGUGUAGCGGUGAAAUGCGUAGAUAUCGUAAGGAAGACCAGUGGCGAAGGCGGGUCUCUGGACAGUUCCUGACGCUGAGGCACGAAGGCCAGGGGAGCAAACGGG
rnacentral:rRNA from 1 species